AGUAAGGUCAGCUAAAUUAAGCUAUCGGGCCCAUACCCCGAAAAUGUCGGAUCA
rnacentral:tRNA from 1 species